GUCUCAGCUGAAAAAUUUCUCAAGUUGGCUUUCACUAAACUUUUUCUCAAGUCUUGAGAUUUUUCUCAGCUGAGCCGUAAUUCUUUAAGACAUAAGCGGCCAAACAUCCAAGGAGCCGCGUGAACUUUCCCACGAACACGAGUGCAUAGUUGGGGGCAGUGGAUUUAUUCAUUUAUUGAGACGAAAUGAAGCGUUGAGAAAUGUUCAUAAACAACAUGUACAGUUUCGGGAUAUAUCCAAAUUGUAUGUGUAUUUUCAAUAUAUAAUUAAUCAGCUUCAAACCUGUCACUUUUGAACCAAUCAAACACACAGUCGAGGGUACUACGUCAUAUUGCAUGUGUUUUCUUUACCAAAUAUGGGAUUAGGUAAACACAGCCAGAUGUGGUUACACUACGUGUGACAAUUUUAUGUUAUCGGGCAUAUUAUGUUUAUGGGAAUCAGAUAUGCAGCUGUCAUAGCCAGCUGAUGAAGAUCCUCAGCUUAUACAGAGGUCAGGCUUGAGCUAUGUGCUGAUUCAAAAGAUGCUAAUGACAGUGGAUAAUCCAUUCUGAGCUGUUCUAGGACCAUUCACCAACGUUCCAAAACACUGAUGGAACUGAAGGCAGUACCUGUAUCGGUGUCUGGCCUGUGAUUUCAAGUAAAAUUGAUGUACCUCCUCCUCAUGUAUCUCCUUGAAUACAAUAUAUCUGCCAUGUGAAAGGAACAAGCUGCAAGAUAUACUGUGGAAGUGGGGGCCUAUGUAAAAAACAUUUUAUUUAAAGAAUAUAAGAAAUCUGACACUAAACUACUGAAAAGGUGCACAGGGGACAUUUUUGUUUGUAUAGACUUUCAUCAAGAUUCUGAGAAAGUUGAUUUAUUAAACAAAAAUAGUCAAAUUGUGUCUUCAAAGCUGAAAAGAUUAAGAUCUUAGGAAAACAUUAGGACUCGAGAAAAGUAAUGGGGUUAUGAAACUGUAGUGUUCAACAUAUAAAUUGUUUUUUUGUUGUUUUUUUUCACUACAUUUUGUGAAGAGGGUUCCAUCACAAGAUGCGACAUAUUGCCUGAUAUUGGUAAGAAUGAGAUGUAGUUUAUGAAAAAAAGUAUUUUGCUUUAAAUGUGCAGACUUUAAGUUAACAUAAAAAAUCAAAGCUGUAACAAUAAAGCUUGAUUAAAAAAACACACUGUUGAAAACUAGUCUUCAUGUAAAUGUCACACUUUUUUGGGUGCACAGGGGACACAAUUAGCUAUAUAAUUUAAUAUAACUUUAACCCUUAGGCCCUUGCUAAAUUUCUAUAAUGAACUUGUCCGUUUUACAAUUUGGACAGUAUUA
rnacentral:lncRNA from 1 species